GCCGGGCGUGGUGGCGCGCGCCUGUAAUCCCAGCUAUUCGGGAGGCUGAGGCGGGAGAAUUGCUUGAACCAGGGAGGUGGAGGUUGCAGUGAGCCGAGAUUGCACCACUGCAUUCUCCAGCCUGGGUGACAGAGCGAGAGACUCCGUCUCAA
rnacentral:SRP_RNA from 1 species